AAGAUGGCGGAUAGAAGAAACAAAAACAUGUUCAAAUUUUUACCAUUUUGCUAUGAUAAAGAAUGCAUUCCUGGAUAAAAUUUCUUCUAAAGACAUUUAAGAUCUUCUAAGUAAGGUGAGCACUACACUUAUUUUUGGAUGUCGCCAUCUUGGAUUUGUCUUCCAACUUGGCCUGCGAAAAGCUUGGUAUGACAAACAAUGGAAAAUAAGCUCUGUUGCUCUUAAUGGACGUUGUCUUGUUGUUAUUUGAAAAGUAGCAUCAUGCAAAAGGUCAAACAGAGAGUGAUGGUUUGGAGGAGAUUUCAAGACAUGGUAAUGUACGGCACUUCACGCCUCCACUUGAGAAGUUAAGCUACACCAGGACAUCAAUCGUCACCUGUAAAGACAUUCAAUGAUGUCAAACCUCAAAGCAAAAAGACAGUAAUCUACAUGUAGAAGAUGUAUCAAGACAACUUGGACAAAGAAAUAUUUGAAGAUGCAUCAACCAUUUGUGGAAAAAAUUNUGUUAAAGAUUAUCAAGAACUUGUCCAUGAAAGAUGACUUUCAAUUUAAAAAAAAAUUCUGAAGAAUUAAGAUUAUAAACUUUUGUAUCCUUUUNUAAAAGAUAUUUAUUGAUUUGUUGCAUUCAUGUCAAAGUUGUUUGAAAGUUGAAUAAUUCAUGUAAAAAGUCAUUUAAAAAGUGUAUCUAAAUUUUAAAAUAUAUCUUAUUACCAUGGGCAUUUUCAGAAAGUGGCAUGGUCUACUUCAAUCUUUUUCAAUCUACUAUUUUGGGCAUUUAUCUUGGAUUAAUAAGCUGUUGCUUCAUUGAAUAAAAAGACUAUUAUAUGACGAUUAACAUUGGAGAGCGUCUUUUGGUCUUCAAUCUACCUCAGUCUACUAUUUUGGGCAUUUAUCUCAAACUGAAUAAACUGGCUUCUGCAUCUUUAGAUUACUGUAAGGUUAUAAUAUGACGUUGCAUGUUAAACACUGUCUCAUGGUCUUAAAUCUCAUUCUUUAAUAUUUUUGGGGCAUUUCACUGGAUCUCUGGAUGAACAAGUUGAUGAUUAAUUGAAACAAUUAUAAUAAUUAUGACGAUGCA
rnacentral:lncRNA from 1 species